GAUUUCUCUGAACAUGCUGUGCGGGUCGUCCAGCAACAUAGAAUAUAGAAAACUUCCAGAGAUAGAGAAGCCUUUCUGCUUCCAGCCCUCUGAUAAGCAGGAUGGAUCAGGACUCCGGUGGAAGAGUCAAUAGUUUCUUACUGAAGAUCUGGAUGGCUGGAGAAGGUCAAGCACAGAGCAUGCAGGCCCCCCAAGUACAGGAUCAGACCCUAGGCUGGCAGCUCCCUGUGCUCAGUGGCCAGAGGUCACUGUGGAGGCCUGGAGGUGCUGUGAGACCUGGUGCCCCUUCCCUGGAACCCGAACUGCCUCCCAGCUUCUCCAGUGCGGUGAACAGGAAGCGCGUGUGGCCCAGCUCUCACCCUCCUGCACCGGACCAGGAACAGGCCCAGUGCAGGUGCUGCACCCACAGCCACCCCGACAUCCAAACCAACAUCUGCCCCUGGACAGACAGUGUGGGGCCCUG
rnacentral:lncRNA from 1 species